UACGAAGGGGGGCUAGCGUUGCUCGGAAUCACUGGGCGUAAAGGGCGCGUAGGCGGGUCUUUUAAGUCAGGGGUGAAAUCCUGGAGCUCAACUCCAGAACUGCCUUUGAUACUGAGGAUCUUGAGUUCGGGAGAGGUGAGUGGAACUGCGAGUGUAGAGGUGAAAUUCGUAGAUAUUCGCAAGAACACCAGUGGCGAAGGCGGCUCACUGGCCCGAUACUGACGCUGAGGCACGAAAGCGUGGGGAGCAAACAGGG
rnacentral:rRNA from 1 species